AUUGAACGCUGGCGGCAGGCCUAACACAUGCAAGUCGAGCGGAUGAAGGGAGCUUGCUCCUGGAUUCAGCGGCGGACGGGUGAGUAAUGCCUAGGAAUCUGCCUGGUAGUGGGGGAUAACGUCCGGAAACGGGCGCUAAUACCGCAUACGUCCUGAGGGAGAAAGUGGGGGAUCUUCGGACCUCACGCUAUCAGGUGAGCCUAGGUCGGAUUAGCUAGUUGGUGGGGUAAAGGCCCACCAAGGCGACGAUCCGUAACUGGUCUGAGAGGAUGAUCAGUCACACUGGAACUGAGACACGGUCCAGACUCCUACGGGAGGCAGCAGUGGGGAAUAUUGGACAAUGGGCGAAAGCCUGAUCCAGCCAUGCCGCGUGUGUGAAGAAGGUCUUCGGAUUGUAAAGCACUUUAAGUUGGGAGGAAGGGCAGUAAGUUAAUACCUUGCUGUUUUGACGUUACCAACAGAAUAAGCACCGGCUAACUUCGUG
rnacentral:rRNA from 1 species